rfam:Oryctes borbonicus contig23512, whole genome shotgun sequence.
CCGUUGGUUCCGUACUUCCUUACGUCCCAUAGUGUUUUAAGUCGUAUGGAAUGUAAAGAAGUAUGGAGCAGACGU